rnacentral:rRNA from 1 species
UACGUAGGUGGCAAGCGUUGUCCGGAUUUACUGGGCGUAAAGAGCGCGCAGGCGGUCGAAUAAGUCGAAUGUGAAAGCCCCCCGGCUCAACUGGGGAGGGUCAUUCGAUACUGUCCGACUUGAAGGCAGGAGAGAGAAGCAGAAUUCCCGGUGUAGUGGUGAAAUGCGUAGAUAUCCGAAGGAACAUCAGUGGCGAAAGCGACUUCCUGGACCAGAACUGACGCUGAGGC